AACCUACGGGGCGCAGCAGUGAGGAAUAUUGGUCAAUGGGCGGAAGCCUGAACCAGCCAAGUCGCGUGAGGGAAUAAGGCCCUACGGGUCGUAAACCUCUUUUGCCGGGGAGCAAGGGCGGGGACGUGUCCCGGCCCGGAGAGUACCCGGAGAAAAAGCAUCGGCUAACUCCGUGCCAGCAGCCGCGGUAAUACGGAGGAUGCGAGCGUUAUCCGGAUUUACUGGGUGUAAAGGGAGCGUAGACGGAAAGGCAAGUCAGAAGUGAAAGCCCAAGGCUCA
rnacentral:rRNA from 1 species